rnacentral:lncRNA from 1 species
UGGGCCCAGCUCGGACUGGUCCGCCGGGCCCAAGGGCUCUGGUGCCUUCUGGAAAGCGCUGGCUGGGACUUCACCCUCCUCCUGCAUGUGACGGACACAGCACUGAUCCUGGCAGCUCCUUACCCCCAGCAGCCCGAAACUCACUCCUUAAUUACACAAGGGAAACCUUUUACCUCCGCAGCCAGAGUCUGGGGGGAAAGGCAGGCGUGGGAAGAUGGGUUCUCUACCUGGCCAGUGCCAUGUUGCCUGUUUCUUUACUGUAACUGUGGUGACAAAGAAAAGGGAAGAUGGAGCCUCCAUGUUGAACAUACCUGGCCCCCAGCACUAACUCCCUCUCUGGAUAUCUGGAACAAGGAGGACCUUAAACUUAACAAUAAAGCCAAUGAUGGUUCUACCAGUCUCCCCAAAGCCUCAAGUUUAAAAGCCAUAUGAACUGGCUGAUAGUGGAAAAUGGAAGCCAUGAGGAAAUCAGAUUAGAGUACUACCUGGUGAAGCCUGGAGGACCUACCAAGAAAAGCAAACUUGGAUCUUUGCAAGGUUAGAAGAACGAAUGGGAUCCAAGAAAAAGACUGGUCAUAUUCAACGGCUAAGAGCGUUGGAGAAGGCCUGUGGAGUCUCAGCAGGUCAGGUCCAUGACUCAUGAGUAGACACCUGUGUUUCUACUGCCUGGUGCCAUAAUCAUAAACAAGGAAGAAACUGAGGACAGGAGGGGCCAAACAAGUUACAGUUUCAUCCCUCCAGAGAGCCAACAGAGUAUUUUGCACGAAGUUGAAGCUAAACAGGUAUUAUGUCCUAUCUCUGGACUGAAUGACUAGAUGCUACUCAGCUUCUGAACUAGAGGAAGCCUGGGACCUUGACCGCACUAAUGCUGAUGACAGCGGAUUUGCAAGUGGCUAGAGGUACCAGAUUUAGCAAAUCAAAAUAUAGGACGUCAAGUUAAAUUUAAGUGUAAGAUAAGCUACGAAUACCUUUUCUAGUAUUAGUACGUCCCAUGCAAUAUACUAGAAAUGUUAUUCGUUAUUUAUGUUAAAUUUAAUUUUAUUAGGGCAUCCUAUAUUUUACCUGUCAAUCCAACCCAUGACCUAGGCAGACACUGUAGAAAAACAAAAGGAGAAUUAAGGAGAUAAAUGAAACACAGGGUGAGCUGAAAAGAGGUGCUCUGUGAAUUUGAGGGUCCAGUAGGAGCUGACUUGUAGGUACUUGGUCUGUUUUGAUGCCCACAACAACCUUGGGGAAGGGGCGGAAUAGCAGAGGGGUAAGCUCUCUGCCCCCCACCAGGGUUCUGCAGGACGCCAGGGCUUUUAUCAGCACCCCUAUGUUCACAUCCUGGCUGCACCCUCCUUGGUUGUAUAUACUCUGGAUAAUUCACUUAAUUUAAAUCUUGCUGCUUUUAUAAAAUUGAUAAAAAGUUAAUAGUGACACUGAUCACACUGAUGUCCCUCAAUGAAUUAUCAAUAUGUUUUUUCUUCCCACCUAUAUUCUUUAUUGAACUCUGUUAUUUUUGAUCCUGGUCUAGAGUAAGCAUUAUGACCAUGCAAGAGUGAAAUGAAAUUUUUAAAAAUAAUUUUUUAAUGUUUUCUGAAUGCUGGGUGUUUUCAAUGAUCAUGCAUGACUGGCAGCAAAGAGGAACGAGGAUGGAUUCGAUAAGGUGCAACAAGUCCUGAACACACACAGAGAACUGGCUGUGAAUCCUGUUUCUGCCACUCACCACUUACUUGUUGGUGAAAAUGCUCAGGAUGUUCACUGCAGCCUGCCUCACCCUGGAAAAGAGAUGUGAGGAUAAUGAGAAAGAAGAGUAUGUUCAGUGCGGAGCAUGCAAAUUUGCAUGAAAACUUCCCAGGCAAAGCAGGAAAGAAACCAGACCUCUUUUCUGCACAAUAAUGGGGCCCACUAACUCUGGGGAAAAGAGUAAUCAGCAAAUGCCUUUCCUUUCUCCUGCUGAUGUUUUGCCCGUACUCAGACCCCUUGACUUCUUAGCUUCUACCCAAAGUGAGCUUGUCAUCAAAGUUCUCCAAAAAUCUGCAGUGUUCUCUUGAGCAAAUCUGCCUGCUCAAAUUUUCCUAUACAGUUCAAUACACUGAUUGAGGCCAGGCGCGGUGGCUCACACCUGUAAUCCCAGCACUUCGGGAGGCCAGACGGGUGGAUCACGAGCUUCCAAGACUAUAGCGCUCUGAUGCAUUGAGAUGACAGCAAGCGGCAUUUUUCAGUCCUGUUACCCAUAUGGCUGCUACCACUGCAUCCUGUUAAAUAAUGUCUUCAACCCAAGAAACCUGCUUCCUAGGGAAGUUUCUCUCUCUCUGCAUUUGUUCCCACUAGAGAAUGACCAUCACCAGAUUCCUGAACUGAAAAUGCUGUUGACACUUUGGAAACUCGGGCCUCUAUUAAUAGGGUGACCAACUAUCCUGGUUUACCUUGAGUACAGGAUUUUCAAUGCUAAAACCAGAAAAACCAGGAUGGUUGGUCAUCUGCCUCAGACCUAAUAAAUACCAGUCAAUAAUUCAGCCAUGAGCUUUCUUAAGACACUGUCUUUUCUUGACUGUUGAAUAGUCUAGGACUUGAGUAGCAGCUCUUUCUGCUACUGGACACUUGUUUUACUACCCUAUUUCUCUAGAUUUUAUUUUGUGGCUAAUAAUUAAGACAUAAAAUCAUGGGUUCUGGUUAUGCCAAAGCACUCACUCUUCAAAAGUUUCCAUCCAGAGUUGGAUAAUCCCACACAGAAGGUGUUCUUUCAACAGACCAGCAUCCAAUAGACCCAAUGCAGCAUUUUUCUUCCUGGUUCCACAUUAAUACAUCCUAUCUCUGCUAUGCUUAGGUCCCUGAUUUAUAAAUAUUUCAGACAUAUUUUCUCAGGACACAGGGAGUACUUAAACUUCCACAUAGCAGAGAUACGACAUACAAUAAGCUGUUAUCUGGAAACUCCUAGUGAUGCUUUGAGUACUUUACAGUAAUCUUUCUGGUCUUCCUCUCAACCCCAUUAAGUUUUUCUGUAACUAGCUGGUGUAUCUGUCUCCAUCUUUAAGGAAUAAGUCCCUAUUUGCUCAUGCUAUAAUCUCCCUCAUGCUCUCCGUCCCUCCUUCCCUCUCCUUCUCUCUUUCUGUCUCUCUCUCUCUCCACCCUGAUUGUGAGAUGCUACACCUUAAUAGUUUUCUAUACCUAGAUCCCUUUUGAAGGAGUAAUUUCAGCCAUCACUGAAAUCUAUGCUUUUUUAUCUUGUUAGAUUUAUUUAGGACCUAAUGACUGUUUCUGAGCUAAUAAUAACGCAAUCAGCUCAUAUUUUUCUGAUACUCUAAGAGCAAUUACAUCUAGUUGCAUCACCUUUUCCUUUUUUAUUCAUGUAUCUUAGGCUUCUCAAGAUAUGAGACUAGCACUUGAGCCUGAGAUAAGCCUUAAGAAUUCCAGGAUAGUCUCUCCAUAGUUCCCUUUCUUGGAUAAAGUCAUUUCAAAACAUCUUAGUGGAUCAGAUUUGGAGCAGCCUACUUACACUGGUGAAUACCACAACUAAUAAAUAAUUGUUCUGCACCCCACCCACAUCUAAAGGAUUCAGGGUGUCUUUUACAGAUAUAGGACUCUCCUUUCUCUGUUUCUCUUCUCUCUCUUCUCCUUGAUUAAAGCUUUGCUUCAGCUGUCCCUGCUCACUACGGCACUGCACCUCACCAGCAUCUUCAUGGCCCUCACAUGGCUCAUGUGCAUAUCCUAACUCUGAUACUAAGGGAGGAGACCACCCCUCAUAUUGUCUUAUGCCCAAUUUCUGCCUCCAAAGAAAGAAGAAGUAAAAACUAAAAGGCAGAAAUGAAAUCCACAAGCAGACAGCCCGGCGCCACACCCUGGGCCUGGUAGUUAAAGAUCGACCCCUGACCUAAUCGGUUAUUUGCAUAAGAAAAGCACUGUGAAGAUCCCUGUCCUGUUCUGUUCCAUUCUAAUUACCGGUGUAUGCAGCCCCCAGUCAUGUACCCCUGCUUGCUCAAUCGAUCACGACCCUCUCACGUGGACCCCCUUAGAGUUGUGGGCCCUUAAAAGGGACAGGAAUUGCUCACUCGGGGAGCUUGGUUGUUGGAGAUGUGAGUCUUGCUAAAGCUCCCAGCCGAAUAAAGCCCUUCCUUCUUAA